rnacentral:rRNA from 1 species
GAGUUUGAUCCUGGCUCAGAACGAACGCUGGCGGCGUGGAUAAGACAUGCAAGUCGAACGGGAUUUCAUUUGUAGCAAUACACGUGAAGUUCAGUGGCGUAAGGGUGCGUAACACGUGGGCAAUCUGCCGAGAUGUGGGGGAUAGCUCGCCGAAAGGCGAAUUAAUACCGCAUGUGGUUAGUGCUGGAUUCAGCGCGACACCAAAGCCGGGGCAACCUGGCGCAUCUUGAUGAGCCCGCGGCCUAUCAGCUAGUUGGUGAGGUAACGGCUCACCAAGGCUUUGACGGGUAGCUGGUCUGAGAGGACGACCAGCCACACUGGAACUGAGACACGGUCCAGACACCUACGGGUGGCAGCAGUCGAGAAUUUUUCUCAAUGGGGGAAACCCUGAAGGAGCGACGCCGCGUGGAGGAUGAAGGUCUUCGGAUUGUAAACUCCUGUCAUUUGGGAACAAUUGUUGGCGAUUAACUGUCGUCAGCUUGAUAGUACCAGAAGAGGAAGAGACGGCUAACUCUGUGCCAGCAGCCGCGGUAAUACAGAGGUCUCACGCGUUGUUCGGAUUCAUUGGGCGUAAAGGGUGCGUAGGUGGCGGGUUUAGUCAGGUGUGAAAUCUCGGGGCUCAACCCCGAAACUGCACUUGAUACUGCCUUGCUAGAGUACUGGAGAGGAGAUUGGGAUUUUCGGUGUUGCAGUGAAAGGGGUAGAUAUUGUUAAGAAGGACCAGUGGGAAGGCGAAUUCUCUGGACAGUUACUGCCACUGAGGCACGAAGGCCAGGGGAGCAAACGGGAUUUAGAUACCCCGGUAGUCCUGGCAGUAAACGGUGCGCGUUUGGUGUGGGAGGAUUCGACCCCUUCUGUGCCGGAGCUAACGCGUUAAACGCGCCGCCUGGGGAGUACGGUCGCAAGAUUAAAACUCAAAGAAAUUGACGGGGGCCCGCACAAGCGGUGGAGUAUGUGGCUUAAUUCGAUGCAACGCGAAGAACCUUACCUAGCCUUGACAUGCAUCUCUAAGUCGGUGAAAGUCGGCGACUGUAGCAAUACAGAAUUUGCACAGGUGCUGCAUGGCUGUCGUCAGCUCGUGUCGUGAGAUGUUGGGUUAAGUCCCGCAACGAGCGCAACCCCUGUGAACUGUUGCCACCGGCCUUCGGGCCGAGCACUCUGUUCAGACUGCCCUGUGAAACGGGGAGGAAGGUGGGGAUGACGUCAAGUCAGCAUGGCCCUUACGGCUAGGGCUGCACACGUACUACAAUGCUCAGUACAGAACGAACCGAAACCGCGAGGUGGAGGAAAUCCCUAAAACUGAGCCCAAUUCGGAUUGGAGGCUGCAACUCGCCUCCAUGAAGCCGGAAUCGCUAGUAAUGGCGUAUCAGCUACGACGCCGUGAAUACGUUCCCGGGCCUUGUACACACCGCCCGUCACAUCAUGGAAGUCACUUGUACCCGAAGUGCAUGCGCCAACCGCAAGGAGGCAGUGCCCUAAGGUAUGGGCGGUAACUGGGAUGAAGUCGUAACAAGGUAACC